rnacentral:tRNA from 1 species
GCCGCAUUCGUCUAGUGGCCUAGGACACCUCCCUCUCAAGGAGGAGAUUCGGGGGUUCGAAUCCCCCAUGCGGUACCA